AGCUUUGUGCAGUGGCAGUAUUGUAGCCAAUGAGAUUUAUCCGAGGCGGGAUUAUUGCUAAUUAAAAUAAAGCGAUAUUCCCCAAUAGGCAGCUGAGGGAACUAGGAAUGACUAUUGUGCCCAUGCGUACUUUUCUGUUGAACUGAUAUAAUUAAUUUUUCAACAAUAUUCCUAUAA
ensembl:snRNA LOC120094967 U4 spliceosomal RNA